UUUUCGCUGAGACCUGCAACGAAGGAAGAGAAAGCCGCCCUUGGGAUAUGAACUGAGCUGAUCCCCUGGGACUCACCACUGAACCUGGAGAAAUUACUGCAAAAAAAAGCUUGUCCAAACCAUCUCAGUGGUGCUGCCUGCAGUACUGAUGACCUCAUGCUCCUCCUCAGCAUUCACUAGCUCCUGGAGCACUGCCUCCACGAUUGGCAUCACCAUGGCUGUGGUGGAUGUGUUGGAAAGCCACAUGGAAAGCACCGUUGUGCAACACAUAAAGCAAAGAAGCAACCUGGAGUAUAACACAGGGAAAUAUUCUUGAGGUGCCAAAAUAUCAUGCUGUGCACAAGGUAAAAUGCAGCCUUGUGCUGAGAACUGUCAUAAGGCAAUGUGUCAUUGGAAGCCGUUUGCUGCCCCGUGCAGAAAUCAGCAUGUGACAUAAGAAACAGUGAUUUUCAGCAUAUCCAAGAUUUAAGCAUCCUUUUGUGUUGGCUAAACAGCACACAAAGAAGGAAAAGAGAGAGUGAAAUCAGCAUCGGUAAAAAAAUUGAAAGCAAAGGAACAACAAGCCAAGGAACAGGAGGUGGCAGAAAGGGGAUGAGAAAACUUGUAAGCUUUCAAACUCUGAAAGGAAAUAUGAGGGGGAAAAAGAGUCCCAAACCAAGCUAGCUUUUGCCCGUGGAUGGGAAAGUUGGAGUUGUUAUUUGCUUUUUCAGGCUGCUGCUGUCAGCCUCAGGCUACCCCAAAGUCAAAGGUUCACUCACAUGCCUGGCUUUGCUCCUGCCAUCAUGACCAUGCGCAGGGCAAUUCGCUUGUGAAGAUUCCACUUUUCUACAGAAGCUGCCACACAAAUCACACCCAUGAGGAGCAAAGUUGUGUUCUUGAAAUAUUCAGCAGCCACCUGCAUUAAGGGCAAGAGAGAAACAGUCAGUUAAAACAGCAGUAACCCCUCUACACAGAGAGCAUGCUGAAUGAGAGGAAAUAUGGUAUUAUGGAAUUUCUCCCCCUAGAGAAUGACAUGGAGCUGGAGAAAAUGAAUAAUUCAUAAGUCAAAAUGUUGUCUUUAAUCUCUUCCAUGCUGUUUUUACAAAUAACAAGGCUCUAUACCCACUUGUUAGUACGUUUCUCAGCUUUGAACAGAUCAAGAGAAAUUUUACUUCACUGCCUGCAGUUAAUCAAUCAUACUGAGCUUGGCCCAGGCUGAAACAGCUACAGAAAAACCUCCGCACUGAAGGCAGCUUAUUCAUGUGCUUCAUCAUUCUGGAGAUGCUAUUCUCUGUCUUGUUUAUAAUUCUUAUCUUGUUCAACUGUUGGGCAAAAUGUGACAUAGCUGGAACCUACAGUUUUAGAAAAAAAUCCUUUGUGACAUGCUCUCUGAAUGCAAUAAAGGAAGGUUGGGGUAUUGCUGUGAUGAUCCACAAACACCAUGCCAGAACUUUUCAAAAUGGACAUCCAUCUCCAUUGGAUAAAGAAAAUAGAACAAAGUUGAAAAAAAAAGAAAAAAAAGAAAAAAAUACUUUUAAUUUAAUGGGGGUGAGUGUAAAUCCUCAGCUGGCUCAAGAAAAAAUUCAGACACCACACGUGGUCCUCCAAAGCAGCAUUCUUGAAUGUGGGGCUUGCUAAGAUACAAGAUGAUGUUCUGUGAUGUGGCUGCAAAAAUAACAGAUGAAGCAAACCAAAACAUUCACAUAUAUGCACACUUAGAGACUCUCUUGUGUGAAAGCAAACAAAAUGGGAGAAAAUAGUAGUUUCAAAAAGAUGCUUGGAGUCUAGCUAAAUUUUUCAUUUCAUUCUGAUGAAUCUUUCCAAAGUUGUUGCAGGAAUAUUUUUCCAAAAACAUUGUUUCUUCAGUUUAAAACUGUUCCUCUAACCAAAUGUAGGUGCCAGCAUUUUAAAACAAUUAAAAUCAUUAGAAGCAGUAUUUUUUCCAUUGUCCUCAGUUAUACCGACGUUUCUCCAUAGAAGUGCAAGAAUGACACUAAUGUUGUUUUGUGAAAGCUGCAGCAAGUUAAGUAUUUAAUUAUAUUUAUUUAAAAAAUCCCCAUGGUGACCUAAAUAGACUUGGUCUCAUAGCUGUGUGCCACAGCUUUUAAACAUCACUUUUUUUGGCUCUCUUCACUGAUUUCUUUCUCAUUAGCUUUCUUUAUUUUCCUGCUACCUUGUUAAAAAAAGGUCUUGAACUGAAUGAAAGGAAUCCAUCAAGCCAACAGCACAAAGAAUCUGUUGUUUCCUUUAUUCCUUUCCCAGACUUUUUUGAGAAAUAAGUGAAUACUAAUAUCCUUAUUACUACACACGCCCACAUAUACGACACACUGGCUCAUGUUCUUAAGCCCCUGUGAGUUAUUUGUAGCUUAAACUGCUAGGCAAGAGCCCUGGACUUUUUUUUGCACUGUAGAACAGCAAACUGGAAAUACUGAAGCAGCGUCAGAGUUGUUUAUUUUAAAAUACAGGGGUUUAUUUCUGUACUUAAAGCAAAUAAUACAUUCUUCAUGGCAGUCUCACUUUCAAGUCUCACUGUCAUCUAAAUUGAUAAUACACUGAAUUUCUUUCAGGCUGCCCUUAAAUUUUCCUUUUUCAAUAUGCUGCAGUAUUUUGUAAUGAAAAUGUGUAACUGCUUUACCUUUAUGUGAGGAAAAAGAAAUCCUGAAAAUAAUUUACUGUGUUGGUGUGGAAAUGAAUCUGAUUAUAUUACACAGUUUUCACACCACUGGGAG